rnacentral:rRNA from 1 species
GAUGAACGCUAGCGACAGGCUUAACACAUGCAAGUCGAGGGGCAGCACAGAAGUAGCAAUACUUUGGUGGCGACCGGCGCACGGGUGAGUAACGCGUAUGCGACCUACCUAUCAGAGGGGAAUAACCCGGCGAAAGUCGGACUAAUACCGCAUAAAACAGGGGCACCGCAUGGUGAUAUUUGUUAAAGAAAUUCGCUGAUAGAUGGGCAUGCGUUCCAUUAGGUAGUUGGUGAGGUAACGGCUCACCAAGCCGACGAUGGAUAGGGGAACUGAGAGGUUGGUCCCCCACACUGGUACGGAGACACGGACCAGACUCCUACGGGAGGCAGCAGUGAGGAAUAUUGGUCAAUGGGCGGGGGCCUGAACCAGCCAAGUCGCGUGAAGGAAGAAGGAUCUAUGGUUCGUAAACUUCUUUUGCAGGGGAAUAAAGUUCAGGACGUGUCCUGUUUUGUAUGUACCCUGAGAAUAAGGAUCGGCUAACUCCGUGCCAGCAGCCGCCGUAACAC